rfam:Ricinus communis cultivar Hale ctg_1100012356570, whole genome shotgun sequence.
GGGGAAAUAGCUCAGUCGGUUAGAGUGCUGGUCUUUCACGCCAGAAGUUGCGGGUUUGAACCUUGUUUUCCCCG